rnacentral:rRNA from 1 species
UACGAAGGGGGCUAGCGUUGCUCGGAAUCACUGGGCGUAAAGCGCACGUAGGCGGAUUGUUAAGUCAGGGGUGAAAUCCUGGAGCUCAACUCCAGAACUGCCUUUGAUACUGGCGACCUCGAGUCCGGGAGAGGUGAGUGGAACUGCGAGUGUAGAGGUGAAAUUCGUAGAUAUUCGCAAGAACACCAGUGGCGAAGGCGGCUCACUGGCCCGGUACUGACGCUGAGGUGCGAAAGCGUGGGGAG